rnacentral:rRNA from 1 species
AAGUCUAACCUGCCCAAUGAGUAGUUUAAUGGCCGCAGUAUUUUGACUGUGCAAAGGUAGCAUAAUCAUUAGUUUCUUAAUUAGAUACUGGAAUGAAAGGUUGGACGAGAAAAUAGCUGUCUCUUUAUAAAUUAGUUAGAAUUUUAUUUUUAAGUUAAAAAGCUUAAAUAUUUUUAAAAGACGAGAAGACCCUAUAGAGUUUUAUAUAAAUUUAUCUAAAAAUUUAAAUUGGUAUUUUUAAAAUUUUAUAUAAAUUUAUAUUUAAUUGGGGUGAUUAAAAAAUUUAAAAAACUUUUUUUUUAUAAAAACAUUAAUUUAUGAUAUAUUGAUCCAUUAAAAUAAUGAUUAAAAGAUUAAAUUACCUUAGGGAUAACAGCGUAAUUUUUUUUUAGAGUUCAAAUCGAUAAAAAAGUUUGCGACCUCGAUGUUGGAUUAAAAUUUAAUUUUGGUGUAGAAGCUAAAGUAUUUAGGUCUGUUCGACCUUUAAAAUUUUACAUGAUCUGAGUUUAAACCGGUGUGAGCCAGGUUGGUUUCUAUCUUUAAAAAAUCAAAGUAUUUUAGUACGAAAGGACCAAUUACUUAUAAAAUUUAU